AUGAAUGUGAAAGUUCAAUCAGUGAUCCAACGAGUUUUUCAUCGCCAUCAACUGAUGAGAGGGAUACGUUGCACGGAUAUGUUUGUGAAAGUCAUGAUGAUUCAAGUCAAAGUGACCAACAAAAUAACCAGGGAUAUAAAUAUCAGAACCUUUCAAUAGUUUCAAAGAGGAUGCCACAACGAAGAAAAAAUACUCAAGAACCCUUUGUAAUAAGCAAUUUUAAAUCCAGUUCAAUCAAAUGUAAUGAUCAACAACACCCAUCAGCAGACGACAUUGCA